rnacentral:rRNA from 1 species
GAUGAACGCUGGCGGCGUGCCUAAUACAUGCAAGUCGAGCGAACGGACGAGAAGCUUGCUUCUCUGAUGUUAGCGGCGGACGGGUGAGUAACACGUGGAUAACCUACCUAUAAGACUGGGAUAACUUCGGGAAACCGGAGCUAAUACCGGAUGAUAUUUUGAACCGCAUGGUUCAAAAGUGAAAGACGGUCUUGCUGUCACUUAUAGAUGGAUCCGCGCUGCAUUAGCUAGUUGGUAAGGUAAUGGCUUACCAAGGCAACGAUGCAUAGCCGACCUGAGAGGGUGAUCGGCCACACGGGAACUGAGACACGGUCCAGACUCCGACGGGAGGCAGCAGUAGGGAAUCUUCCGCAAGGGGCGAAAGCCUGACGGAGCAACGCCGCGUGAGUGAUGAAGGUCCUCGGAUCGUAAAACUCUGUUAUUAGGGAAGAACAUAUGUGUAAGUAACUGUGCACAUCUUGACGGUACCUAAUCAGAAAGCCACGGCUAACUACGUG